UUCAGACCAGACAAGCCAUCAAUGGCCUGGUUUGCCUUUUAGAAGAAGCAGACAUCAAUCAGCCACUGAAGACAAGAAGAGGACGGUCCUGGGGCACUCAACUUCUUCUAAGAUUCUCCUUGGAAGCCAUUCAAGUUUUCUUGCCAUUGUCACUGGGGCCACUCCUGCUCUGCUGUCUGCAGACUUCAUCUGCUGCUCUGAGGGUGGAAGUUUGCUUCUAAGGAAAAAUACUGGAAGGAAUAAAAUGCAGCCAAGAGGGGCCGUCGCUUUAACACACACCUGCUCUUUCCUCCCCAUCAGCAGGUGCCCAACAAGAUUGUUGACGAUGUCUGUGUCUACACCAGCAUUUCUCGAUCACCAGUCCCGGCCAUGGAAGCAACAUAUUCCUGCCUUAGGUUUAUUUCUCUCCCUUCUCUGCUUCUGGAUCGUCUCUCCCACCUCCUCACCCAUCUCCUCCUCCACCAUUUACCACCUGCUAUCAGAAUCAGGGUGGAAAACGUGGGCACACGCCCACGAGUUUUUAGUAUAGUUUUAACAAAAACACAAAAUUCCACCUA